rnacentral:rRNA from 1 species
AGAGUUUGAUCCUGGCUCAGGAUGAACGCUAGCGGCAGGCCUAACACAUGCAAGUCGAGGGAGGAGCUUUCGGGCUUCGACCGGCGUACGGGUGCGUAACGCGUAUACAAUCUGCCUUCCACAUAGGGAUAGCCCGAAGAAAUUUGGAUUAAUACCUAAUGGUAUAUAGGGAUGGCAUCAUUUUUAUAUUAAAGCUGAGGCGGUGAAAGAUGAGUAUGCGUUCUAUUAGCUAGUUGGAGAGGUAACGGCUCCCCAAGGCGACGAUAGAUAGGGGUUCUGAGAGGGAUAUCCCCCACACUGGUACUGAGAUACGGACCAGACUCCUACGGGAGGCAGCAGUGAGGAAUAUUGGACAAUGGUCGGAAGACUGAUCCAGCCAUGCCGCGUGCAGGAAGACGGCCUUAUGGGUUGUAAACUGCUUUUGCAGGGGAAGAAUAAGGAGUACGUGUACUUUGAUGACGGUACUCUGCGAAUAAGCAUCGGCUAACUCCGUGCCAGCAGCCGCGGUAAUACGGAGGAUGCGAGCGUUAUCCGGAAUCAUUGGGUUUAAAGGGUCCGUAGGCGGGCUAAUAAGUCAGAGGUGAAAGCGCUCAGCUCAACUGAGCAACUGCCUUUGAAACUGUUAGUCUUGAAUGGUUGUGAAGUAGUUGGAAUGUGUAGUGUAGCGGUGAAAUGCGUAGA